AUGCUACCUGGGAGCCAACAGGAACGAGGGACUGUCACUUUUCAGAGCACACACAUUUCUUCCGGGACCCAAUCUCCCAGCGUAGCCACCUGCACUUCCGCAGGGUCCCUGCCUUCGUGGGGAGAGAGGGCGCGACCUUGGUUCACUGCCCUUUGCAAACCCAUGCAGGGCAGGCUGCAUCAGGGAGGGAACAAGGGACAAGGGGACAGGCGAGGCAGAGAACAAAAUCCACCAGGGAAGGUGUGCACUCGUGUUUGUGUGUGUGUGCUGGCGAGGGCAGACUCACGCAUGUGCACCACGUGUACACAGACACGCACAUACACACGCGUGUGCACACACAUGGUUCUUGGCUGCCAUCUCCGUGUACAUUCUCGGGGCUCUGGAUGGACUUUCUCUGGGCAGGGGCCAUGCCCCCAGCCCUGGCCCUCCUGCCCUGUGGCCAGGGCUGUUCAGAAAGUGGGCACUGUUGGAUUCUUUCUCACGCUGGGUCCUCCAGGCCGCUGUCUGCGAUCUUUAGUCCAUGGAAGGAUCUGUUCCCCACAGUUCACGUCCAAGUCAGCCUCUUGGAUCAGGCAGUACAUCUACCCCUGGAACCGUGAUUGGAGAUGUAAUACGGAGGACCGGCUAAAGCACAGACCACUCAGCUGGCUGGCUUCGGCGAGCAAUCGCACUGGUCUGCUUCCUCGUCCGCCAAGGGAGGAAUCCAAAUACCCACCAGGAUCAAACGCAUCCAGAAACUUGAGCACGUGUCAGGUCUCCAGCACACAGGUGCCCCGUGGACAGCCAAGGGAGCUAUGGAUAGCACUGCUAACGUCCCUGGGGUCACAGCUCAUGGUGGCUGGAAUUGCAGGCUGGCUCCCACGGCCCCAGCCAUACCCAAUUCAGCCGACACAAUUCUGUCCAUACCUGUGGCUACCAGUGACCGUGACAUCACCUCCAUGGGGAAUGGCCCUGUGUUCUACAUCCUCUCCUGGGACCCUGCAACUGCUCCCACCUCCCCACAGGGUGGCCCGGGAGAAGGCUGGGAGUGAGGGGUUGGACCCUGGGAAACACCACCGUCAAUGCCACUUCAAGGUGAAAAGGCUUCUCCUUGGACAGCGGAUGCCGAGGGUCACCUGUGAGGUAGCCGGAGGUGGCCGACUUCGCGCCCUGCAAUCCUGA
rnacentral:lncRNA from 1 species